AAAUGGUGAUAGUAGCAACAUCAUAGUCAUACUCUGAAAUCUCAUUCAUUGAAACAUAAACAUCCGAAACAUCGGAAUCAAGUUCAAUUACAUCAGAAUCAACCACAUUGUUUGGGAUAUCAGCAACAACAUUGGAAAAAUUAAAUACAUCACCAUUGAUUACAGAAUCAGUAGGAACAACAUCUGCGAAUUCAUCAGUAGCAUCUUC
rnacentral:lncRNA from 1 species